AGUGAACGCUGGCGGUAGGCCUAACACAUGCAAGUCGAACGGCAGCACAGUAAGAGCUUGCUCUUACGGGUGGCGAGUGGCGGACGGGUGAGGAAUACAUCGGAAUCUACUUUUUCGUGGGGGAUAACGUAGGGAAACUUACGCUAAUACCGCAUACGACCUACGGGUGAAAGCAGGGGAUCUUCGGACCUUGCGCGAUUGAAUGAGCCGAUGUCGGAUUAGCUAGUUGGCGGGGUAAAGGCUCACCAAGGCGACGAUCCGUAGCUGGUCUGAGAGGAUGAUCGGCCACAAUGGAAGUGAGACAGGGCCGAGGCUCCUACGGGAGGCAGCAGUAUGGAAUCUUCCGCAGUGGGCGAAAGCCUGACGGAGCAUCGCCGCGUGAGUGAUGACGGUCUUCGGAUCGUAAAACUCUGUUAUUAGGGAAGAAAAUAUGUGUAAGUAACUAUGCACAUCUUGACGGUCCCUAAUCAGACAGCCACGGCUAACUACGUG
rnacentral:rRNA from 1 species